rnacentral:rRNA from 1 species
GACGAACGCUGGCGGCGUGCUUAACACAUGCAAGUCGAACGGAAAGGCCUGCUUUCCCUUGUGGAUUGCGGGUACUCGAGUGGCGAACGGGUGAGUAACACGUGAGUGAUCUGCCCCCAACUUGGGUAUAAGCCUGGGAAACUGGGUCUAAUUCCCGAUAGGACUGCAGGGUGGUGCCUGUGGUGGAAAACGAUUUUCUAGUGGUUGGGGAUGAGCUCGCGGCCUAUCAGCUUGUUGGUGGGGUAAUGGCGUACCAAGGCGGCGACGGGUAGCCGGCCUGAGAGGGUGGACGGCCACAUUGGGACUGAGAUACGGCCCAGACUCCUACGGGAGGCAGCAGUGGGGAAUAUUGCACAAUGGGCGGAAGCCUGAUGCAGCGACGCCGCGUGGGGGAUGACGGCCUUCGGGUUGUAAACUCCUUUCGACCGCGAGGAAGCCACCUGGUUGGAAGGGUGGUGACGGUAGUGGUAGAAGAAGCACCGGCUAACUACGUG